UUUCUGGAAUUCAGUAUUUGGAAUCAAGUUAUUGUUUUACUAUUUCCUUUUGAGUUUACUUAUAUUCUCUCUUGGAUGGAGUUAUAGUAAAAAUCUUCCUCUGGGAUAAGUAGAAAACACGUAAACAUGAUAAAGGGAAGUAGUGACAGUGAAGAGGUGUGGGAGAGGAACAACCGAACAAGUGUUACAAGUAAUAAAUUUUGGCUUGUGAAGUGUUAUAAUCUAAGAUUGGGCCAAGAUCACUCAACUAGGCUAUAAUGCACAUGGGUCAAACCACAUGACUGAAUCCAAUCAAUUAGCUAAUCUAACCCAUGUCCUUAUAAACCCAUAUAUUCCCUCUUAUUUUAUGAGUAUUUCAAAGAAUGAUUGGAGAAAUUAGUCCCUCCGUUUUUGAUGAUUCAUUGAU